UCCCCAUUUUCCCUUGACCCUGUGUUUGUACGAACAGGUGCAUAUCUUUUCUUUGCCUUACCAUGUCCUCUCUCUAUGAAAUAAAUUUUAGGCAUGCAUAGCACGGUGAUCAAAUUACUGUUUCUAAUAUUUUAUCUAGCAAUUAGACUCUUGGAAUUUUCUAUUAUUUGUUAAAUCAGAUCUGAAUUGCUAGGGAAGAAAGAAAGGUUAUAGUAAUUGAUAAAAGCACAUACGUGAUGCAUACAUAACUGAUAUUGAUUUUUGUCAAAUCAGUUGUGAGUCCUCCAUCAGGUAUCUGUGUGAAUACAUUGUCUUAUGAAUGUAUUUCCACUAUUUUGAAGAUAAAGUACAGUGGCCGUCCACUUACAGUCAGAGAGAGCUUAAAUAUAGUUCAAUCUUCAGAGAAACAUCAUCAAAAAAGUGAAGGGCGCAAGCUCACAAACACUAUAUUUGGGUUUGUUAAAUGUAUGCAUCAAAACAUUGAGUUUGCUAGAAAUUCUAAAAUCAGACUAAAUUAAAUAAUGACUAUAGAGUAUAUACGAAUAUAAUAAGAAACCCAAAAGUAAAUAAAUUUCGUUCUGAUAAAAUAUUUCUGAUAUAACAAUUUGAAACCAAAUAAGGCUGCUAUGUCUGCAUCACAUUAUAUUUAGUCAUAUCAGAAUGCUUGUAACAAUAUCUAUAAUAUAUCCUUGUAAACAAUGUUUUUUGCAACCUUGUCGGAUGGACGCUCUUCAUCUGAUAUGAGUAUCUUCAAUCCAUUUCUGCUGGUCACCCUUGACAUUGCAACAUAGAGUUGUCCAUGUGUGAACACUUGCCUUUCUAAGUAGAGUCCAACUUUUUUGAGAGAUUGCCCCUGGCUUUUGUUUAUAGUCAUAGCAAAGCACACUGAUAUUGGGUAUUGUCUCCUUUUCAGAAUGAAAGGCCAUUUUGAAUCACUUGGUGACAUGAUAAUUCGUGGGAUGUAAACUUUGUCACCAACGUUAGGACAUGUUAUGACCUGGCCUUCAAUGAAACGCUUUCCUAGCUGUGUUAUUGUUAGUCUUGUCCCAUUGCAAAGUCCUGCACUUUGAUUGAUGUUCCUCAUAAGCAUUAUUGGUAACCCUACUUUCAGCCUCAGUUCAUGGUCUGGUAUUCCAGAAAAUGUAAGACUAUUCAAAAACUCAGUUGGGUACAACAUAUCUUCAUCUUCCACCGUAGACAUUGCCUUGCAUGUUGUAUCUGAACUGAAAUAGGUUACCUCUUCUCCAGGAAUUUGACUCAUGAUGUAGGCAUUAAUCUGGUCAACAGUCUCGUUUCUUGGGCACAAGAUCGCUCUUUCCUCUAGGUAUGUUCUAUCAGUGUAUUUUCUGUGUAAGUCGGGGUAGGUGGUGUUAACAAUAGAUGCUUUCGGGUCAUCUCCUUCAUGUAAAAUAAGGUCCUCUGGGAUGCUAACCCAAUCCUCUUCAUCUACUGUUGAUGUUGUGCCAUCGCCGAUGUUUAGUAUCCAGUUUGCGAAUUCAGCUGUUUUUGCUUUCUCUUCUGGACUACCUUCGGAUGAAUUUAGACGCAUAUUUUCUUUGAGUCGGUACUCGUCAAAGUUCUUCCAUAGGUAGGAUCUCUUUAUUGAUGCAGAAAUGAUAUGUUCCCUUUUCCCCUUCGGUAUAACUGGUAGGAUUUGCCUGAAGUCACCUCCCAAGACUACUGUCAUUCCUCCAAAUGGUCUAUGCUCUGCGUCCUCGUAUGUGAAUCGAAGUAUGUCUCUCAAACUCUUAUCUAGUGCCUCAAAACAGUGCUUGUGUGUCAUAGGUGCUUCAUCCCAUAUUAUCAGUGACAUUUUCUUUAUUAGCUCCGCAAGAAAUGUUCCUUGCUUGAUGUUGCAUGUGGACUCAUUAGUGAUCUUGAGGGGAAUGUGAAAUCUUGAAUGAGCUGUUCUUCCACCUUGUAAAAGAAGUGCUGCUAUACCACUUGAAGCAACUGCUAGAACUAUUUUUCCUUCAGAUCUUAAUUUUGUCGUGACUGCUUUCCACAGAAAUGUCUUUCCAGUUCCACCAUAUCUGUCAACAAAAAUCAAUUUUCCAAGACUGUCGUUGACUGAUUCUAUUAUAACGUCAAAAGCCAUCCUCUGAUCUUGAUUUAGCUUUUGCAGUAACUUCAUGUGCUCUAUUCUUAAAGAAUCUUUAUCGUAGUUUAGUUCCUCAUUUACUAAUCUAUUAUUUAGAUCUUGAAGAACUGAACUAUCUGGUAGUGGCAUUCCUGGAAAAUCUUCGAGGGACUUACCACCUUUAGUCAAUAGUUGUUCUAUCUCUGCCAGGAGCAGGCUCUUUAUUUGUGCCGAGUUGAGUUCCAGGGCCUGAAAAUUGAAUAUUCUUCUUUGCCGACGUUGGAUAUCCUCAGAUAGUAACUCCCAAUUUGUUUGCCACAACUUUGCGGGAUCCGUCACCUCACAAAAUAAAAGUAUUGUGCAGAAAAGUUGGCGCAUUUGAGGAGCAGAGGCCCAAUGGGAUGCUUCCUUGAUGCAGUCAUCCCACUCUUUGUCGUCAUUAAGUAGCCCAAGAGCAUAACAUGCGGAUUUGAAUGUUGGAUGUACAACCCCAUCAACUGUUCGAAUUUCUUCAUAUGAUCUGCAUCCUUUGACGGUAUUUAAUAGCAUUCUCAAGUAGUAUUUUUCACCGCUCGUUGGUUGUGCAUAGUAAAUCCUGCCUAUGGUUUUUUGUCCACCACGCCUUUUCCUCCAUUCUUUCUCUUGUGCAUGCCAAGUCCAUUUGGUUGGAAACUGUGCAUACGUCAAACUGCGAGCUUCUUCAUGCAACUGGUUGGCUGUCAUCCAUUCUGUGAACAUUGUCUUUUCUAUGUUCGGCCGAGAUACAAUUUGAUCUAAAUCCAUUCAGUCUGGGAACACCACAACAUGUUCAUUUUCUAGGUGAAAUUGUAACCUAUCAACCGCAGGCUCUCUGUACUGAAGAGGAAACUGAAAUAUGCGCCAUGCGGCUUCACAUCCAGAUAUGUACCGGGCAUCAAGGUACCUCUUGAUUUCGUCGUCCCUGUUUGUUAAUUUGCUAGCUCUUUUUUCACUUUGUUGCUCUUCUGCUUCUAUCAAGACAGUUGUUCGAUCUUCUCCUUUGUGGAUGUAUUUGAAUAAAUACUUUAUAGACCUUGAUCUGUUGCACCAUUCAACAUUUAUGUGGGCUUGAUACUUGACCAGUAGGUUUCUAUUGUAUGGCACAACAAAUCUAUUGUCUAGCUUCACUCCAUUCUUGUCCACAGUGUUGCCAUCAUCUCGUCUUCUAUAUACUGGAUAGUUAUCUUCAUCUAUGGUAGUCUCAGUGCAAAAAUUCUUGGGGAAAUGUUUGGCACAACUUUUAUCGACCAUGCAUGGUGAUUUUGGGUGUGCUUGACCACAUGGACCAUGUAUCAUAUAAUUUUGCACUGCUUCGUACCCUUCUGGAUCACUAUUCUUAUCAGGAAUUUCAGCUGAUAUGAUUUUGUCGAUCUGGGAAGGACUUGGAUCUUUAUCAUCUGGGUGUAGAAACACCAGUAUGUGUGCAUGCGGGAGUCCUCUUUUCUGGAACUCUAUAGUGUAGACAACUGUAUGAAUAUGAAAGUAAACAAAUUUGAGAAGAAAUGAGUUAGGACAAUCAUCUAGGAAAGAGUGAAUAUCUACUUAUUAGGUAAACUUACUUGCAAUUGUUUGUCCAAAUCACUUCCCGUUCUUUAUGUCAUUCAUAAGUUCCUUCAGUUUGAACAUGAAUACUCUGGCAACAAUAUCUGGAUGAUCUUCAGGUUUCUGGCCUGGAAUCAGAUCCAACAUAUCUUGUAUUUCCGGCCAUUUUGGAUUGCAUGUAAAAGUAAUGAAGAGAUCAGGAUAGCCAGCCCAACGACAAAUCGCCAUGGCAUCUUGGUAGUUUUGCUGCUUAUUUCUUGGACUGCCAUUAUAUGAUGAGGGUAGUAUGAUUCUUUGUCCAACUUGUUCGGUUCGUGUAUCUCCAUUUUCUAUUGCAUCAUGCAGUCCUCUGUACAGUUCUGUCCUCAACUUACCUUGGUUUGUCCUGUACCAAUUUAGUCUCCACUGUUCAAUGCACGUUGCUGCAUCAACUAAGAACUGCAGGAACAAACGUCCACUCAUUUGCAAUGUUGAAGCUUGGUUCAGACGUUGUUGUAUGCGAUACGCAUAAAACUCCAGCAUUGUUACAUACUUUCUUUUACCUUUGCUGCCUCUUUUAUUUUCAUACUCUAUUUCUGGUCUGAAACCAUCUUCUCCAUAUGGAAAAAGCAAGGGGUACUGCAUUGACAUAUAGCUUGGGUGCAACUCUGAAAUCCUCUGUAACAUUCUGUCUUUGGUCUCAACUAUUAUAUCAAAUUCAUUAUUUUCUCCAUCUUGUUCCCCAAUAAUUAGUGCUGCGACUUCUGAGGCAGAUGGUAGGUUGUAUUGCCGUCCAUCUUUCGACCUUUUGUUGAUCAAUCUUAGUCUUACAUCUUUAAUACGUCGGUUUUGGAAUCUGUCCCUUGCCAUACGAAAUGAUUUGACUAAAACAUUGUGCUCAUCAAGCAUCUCCAGUAGUCCUUUGACAAUGUUUUCAUCUGGUUGUGUCUUACUCUCCGUUGAAGCUGAUGCAUUAAUCCUAUUCCGCACUUCAUUUUCUGUGUCAUGUAUGUACAAUUGGGCAAAUUUUGGUUUCGUCACGUCAUCUUUAGGAAGUAAAGUGCCAAUCUGAUGGUAAUUCUGGCCAUUCAAACGGAAAACAUACGGUCCAGAUGCCUGCUUAUUAAUUUCAUAGUCAACCUUUCCUCCCAUUGAAGUGAAUGCGAACAUCGAGUUGUACAACCUGAUGUUCUGGCGGAAAUUUGAUGAUUCUCCUCUUUCAUUGUAACGUAGUAGCUGUCGGAGAUACAGCGGAGCUUGUUUCAGUGGUGGUAAUUUAACUUUCCCUUCCUUGCAGCAGAGACCAAAUUUUGGAACUGUGAUGUUACCUGUGCUUGUGCUUCUCUCUCCAUGCCACAUAAUGGCAUUGCAAAAUUCACAAACACAAUUUGGUUUUCCCAGAUAUGAAACUUGAGUAACAUCCUUCGCUACAUUAGAUACUUCACAGUUAUUGCCCUUUUCUGUCCUUAGUCGUUUGCUUGUCUUUUUCAGCUGGAGGAUCUCUUUCCUUUUCCGCCUAGCUUCCUUUGCUGCUGCUCUAAUGAUGUCUGAUUGACUAUCAUUAGAUUCGAGUGUUGCUAGUUCGGAGGCUGCUUGCUCAGGUAUUUGGAUUCCUUGAUGACGCCACAUAUUCCUGCAUUUUAUUUUGUUAUCAUUUUAAUAAUCCAGGUAAAUUAAUAUUUAUAUGAUUAUUUUUGGUACUGUGGUAAUGAAUACCUUCCGUUGUUCUGAUUUGCUCUAGUGCGUGUUCGAUGCAUGUUGACUGCAGCUGGUGAAUCCUGAAAUAAAUGAGGUAAAAAGUGUAACUGAUUUUAUUCUGAGAUAUAAGUGAGGACAUCUUAUACGUAACUGAUUUUAUUUGUCCAGAAAUUCAGAAUUGCUGAUGAUAAAUUUGUAAACAUGUCAGGCACCACAUUGUUCGCAAGGAUGCUGAAGGUAUUUAUAUGGAACAGAUAGUUUCCUGAUAAGAUUCUUUUUCGUAUGGAUUGUUUUCCAACAAAGGAUUUAAAAUCGCCUAAAAUCAUUAUUCUAUUGUGAAAGAAGGAUACUUGUGUUGUCACCUUCCAAUGAGAGGACGUAUAUGCUCUGUAAUUGGUGAUCUGAAUCUCAAGUUUAUCCCCGCUUUCUCUCUGUAAUUCAAGUUAAUACAAAGCAUGUGUAAUGAGAUCGAAUAGUUGAUGUAUAUAUUAAUCAUUGCAGGAGACAUGCAUAUAUUAUUUGUGGAAGGAGAUAAUGAACAUUGCCUGCAAGUACUGCCACACGACCUGUCUGCUCCUUGCUGCUGGCGAGAGGAGGGUAAUGUGUUGCCGGGAUGUGCACACUGUGUAAUUGGUGAUCUGAAUCUCAAGUUUAUCGGCUCUUUCUCUCUGUAAUUCAAGUUAAUACAAAGCAUGUGUACUGAGAUCGGAGAGUUAAUGCAUAUAUUAAUCAUUGCAAGGAUACAUGCAUGUAUUAUUUGUGGAAAGAGAUAAUGAACAUUACCUGCAAGUACUGCCACACAACCUGUCUGCUCCUUGUUGCUGGCGAGAGGACUAAUUAUCGCCUGUAUGUGAUGAAGGAUUAGAUCAGAGGCGAUGUCUUGCCUGGAUGUGCACGAAUUGAGUCGAUAUAGAAUUCUUAUUUGUAAAGAAGCGUAGGGCUAGAGUUUGUAGGUUAGAGUUUGUCAUCUGUACGUUCUAAACCUAUGCAAUACUUGAGCCGUUAUUAUUUUGUGUCACCAGAUAGAUGGCUCCUACUUGAAGUCAGUUUCCAUGUAUACUAAAAUUAUGCACGUCUCUGUUUCUUACA
rnacentral:lncRNA from 1 species